CUGUCAAUCUUGGAACAGAUAAGGCAAGAGCUCCACUCACUUGAAUACUCUUCUUCUACUUUUUCACUUCUCUUCUCUAUCGAUGGCGGAAGUUUCUAGAAUCCUCCAAUCAUGUCUUCUUCCUCCUUUCUCCCAUAAAAUAGACGGAAUCACUAAUUACCACUUUACUUCCUACAAAUUGUACAGAAGAAAUAGACUCAACAUCGUUAUCCGUUGUUCAUCAAUUUCUACUACUGAAACAACCAAAUCCACAAACACUCAGAAUAUUCCAUGGGGAUGCGAGACUGAUUCUCUCGAAAAUGCGUCGAAUUUGGAGAAAUGGUUGUCGGAAUCAGGGCUUCCUUCUCAGAAAAUGGAUAUACAAAGAGUGGAUGUUGGAGAAAGAGGACUUGUUGCUAACAACAAUAUUAGGAAAGGGGAAAAACUGCUUUUUGUUCCUCCCUCACUUGUCAUCACCGCUGACUCGAAGAUUUUUCUUUGUCUUGAUAUGUGCUGGAGAUGCCAGAAAUGGAGCAAUUCAGAUGUUGGUAAUGUUUUAAAACAAUACAAUGUACCAGAUUGGCCUUUUAUUGCUACAUAUUUAAUAAGUGAGGCAAGCCUCAUGAAGUCUUCAAGAUGGAGCAACUACAUAUCUGCCUUGCCUAGGCAGCCUUACUCUCUCUUAUACUGGACUCAAUCAGAGCUAGAUAGGUACUUGGAAGCAUCACAAAUAAGAGAAAGGGCGAUUGAAAGGAUAAAUAACGUCAUUGGAACGUACAAUGAUUUAAGGCUCAGAAUAUUUUCCAAGCAUCCCGAUUUAUUUCCUGAAGAGAUAUUCAACAUAGAGACUUUCAACUGGUCAUUUGGAAUUCUCUUCUCACGUUUGGUCAGGUUACCCUCUAUGGAUGGAAGAGUUGCGUUGGUUCCUUGGGCAGAUAUGCUGAAUCAUAAUUGUGAGGUGGAAACAUUUCUUGACUAUGAUAAAUCAUCGCAAGGAAUUGUCUUUACAACGGACAGGGCAUAUCUUCCAGGUGAGCAGGUUUUUAUAUCAUAUGGAAGGAAAUCUAAUGGAGAACUUUUGCUUUCAUAUGGAUUUGUUCCUAAAGAAGGCACCAAUCCAACUGACUCAGUUGAGGUGUCAUUGUCACUUAAGAAAUCUGAUAAAUGUUACAAGGAGAAGGUGGAAGCUCUAAAGAAGUAUGGAUUGUCAGCAUCAGAAUGUUUUCCGGUACAAGUCACUGGUUGGCCACUGGAGUUGAUGGCUUUUGCUUAUCUAGUGGUCAGUCCACCUAGCAUGAGCAGACAAUUUGAAGAGAUGGCUGCUGCUGCAUCAAAUAAGGCAAGAUCAAAGAAAGAUAUCAAGUACCCAGAAAUAGAAGAAGAUGCAUUGCAAUUUAUUCUCGAUAGUUGUGAAUCUAGCAUAUCAAAGUAUUCCAAAUUCCUUCAGGCAAGUGGAGAAAUGGAUCUCGAUGUAACGAAUCCAAAGCAACUAAACAGAAGAGUGUUUCUGAAACAGCUAGCAGUUGACCUGUGUUCAAGUGAGCGAAGGAUACUCUAUCGUAGCCAAUAUAUAUUAAGGAGAAGAUUGAGGGACAUAAGGAGUGGAGAAUUGAGGGCUCUGAAUUUAUUUGAUGGACUUAGGAACUUUUUCAAAUGACUUAAAAGAAUGACUCUUCCUGGAUUUUGAAAUCAAUCCUCCUGUUUCCAAGAAAGUUUGCCACUGUCUCAAUGAUCAAAUGGGACUCUGUCAAAAUCAAAUUUCCAAUGCUCACAAUCAAAGUAAGAAAGUCUUCAACAAUAAGAUUCUUGAAUAAGUGAUGACAAAAAGAAGACUUUUUUGAAUUUCACAAUUAUUUGUUAGAUUUCUAUUGGGAUUUGACAUUUAUGAAUUUGAUCCUUCACACCAUACUUAGUUCCGUACAGAAAAAAGCUAAUUGCGCAUUUUAUGAUUUGUAGUUCAUAUAUCUAUAAUAUUUUAUUCAUGGGUGUUAUACCUUAUUGUAAUAAAAAAAAAAAACUAUGCUCAUACUGCACAUAGACUAUUGGUUAUUGUUAUAUAUUCCAACUGCAAUAUGAAUUAGCGUUUUAUUGAUUAUUAUUUCAUUAUUAAUAUUAUUUAUAGGUAUAUAUGGGCUUACCUUUUUCA